rnacentral:rRNA from 1 species
UAGGGAAUCUUCGGCAAUGGACGAAAGUCUGACCGAGCAACGCCGCGUGAGUGAAGAAGGUUUUCGGAUCGUAAAACUCUGUUGGUAGAGAAGAACGUUGGUGAGAGUGGAAAGCUCAUCAAGUGACGGUAACUACCCAGAAAGGGACGGCUAACUACGUGCCAGCAGCCGCGGUAAUACGUAGGCCCGACGCGUGUCCGGGUUUAUUGGGCGUAAAGCGAGCGCAGGUGGUUUAUUAAGUCUGGUGUAAAAGACAGUGGCUCAACCAUUGUAUGCAUUGGAAACUGGUAGACUUGAGUGCAGGAGAGGAGAGUGGAAUUCCAUGUGUAGCGGUGAAAUGCGUAGAUAUAUUGGAGGAACACCGGUGGCGAAAGCGGCUCUCUGGCCUGUAACUGACACUGAGGCUCGAAAGCGUGGGGAGCAAACA